rnacentral:rRNA from 1 species
AGGUUGGCUCAGAAGCAGCCAUCCUUUAAAGAGUGCGUAACAGCUCACUAGUCGAGUGACCCUGCGCCGAAAAUGUACCGGGGCUAAGCCUGAUACCGAAACUGCGGAUUGUAGGAAACUAUAGUGGUAGGGGAGCGUUGUAUACGAGCAGAAGCCGUACCGUGAGGAGCGGUGGAUUGUAUAGAAGUGAGAAUGCCGGUGUGAGUAGCGAGAUGUAGGUGAGAAUCCUACACACCGAAAGCCCAAGGAUUCCAGGGGAAGGUUCGUCCGCCCUGGGUAAGUCGGGACCUAACGCGAGGCCGAAAGGCGUAGUGGAUGGAAAGCAGGCGAAAGAUUCCUGCACCCGUAUAUGGAGCGAAGGAGUGACGGAGACGGAUAGUGUGACCCUCUUAAUGGAUUGAGGGCGAAGCGAAGCGGCUGGUUACCAGGCAAAUCCGGUAACCAAAAGGCUAGAGCGUGACAGGUAAGCGAAAUCUUCGGAAAGUAGCGAAGCACAUGAUGACGGCUUCCAGGAAAAGCUUCUGGCAAUGCAUAUGCGGCCCGUACCAAAACCGACACAGGUGGGCAGGGAGAGAAUCCCGAGGUGAGCGAGAGAACUGUUGCCAAGGAACUCGGCAAAAUGACUCCGUAAGUUAGCGAGAAGGAGUGCUUAAGCAAUUAAGCCGCAGUGAAGAGGCCCAAGCGACUGUUUAACUAAAACACAGCUCUCUGCGAAGUCGCAAGACGAAGUAUAGGGGGUGACACCUGCCCGGUGCUGGAAGGUUAAGAGGAUCUGUUAAGAGCGAUCUGAAGCAGUGAUCCGAAGCCCCAGUGAACGGCGGCCGUAACUAUAACGGUCCUAAGGUAGCGAAAUUCCUUGUCAGGUAAGUUCUGACCCGCACGAAAGGUGUAACGAUUUGGGCGCUGUCUCGGCAGCAGACUCGGUGAAAUCUUAGUACCUGUGAAAAUGCAGGUUACCCGCAACUAGACGGAAAGACCCCAUGGAGCUUUACUGCAGCCUGAUAUUGAAUUCUGGUCAUACAUGUACAGGAUAGGUGGGAGACAAAGAGACGUGCACGCCAGUGUACGAGGAGUCGCCGUUGGGAUACCACUCUUGUGUGACCGGGGUUCUAACCUGGUAUCGAGAACAGGUACGGGGAGAGUGUCAGGUGGGCAGUUUGACUGGGGCGGUCGCCUCCCAAAGAGUAACGGAGGCGCCCAAAGGUUCCCUCAGCGCGGCCGGAAAUCGCGCGAAGAGUGUAAAGGCAGAAGGGAGCUUGACUGAGAGCCAAACACGGCGAUCAGGUACGAAAGUAGGGCUUAGUGAUCCGGUGGCAUCCAAGUGGAAGGGCCAUCGCUCAACGGAUAAAAGCUACCCUGGGGAUAACAGGCUAAUCUCUCCCAAGAGUCCAUAUCGACGGGGAGGUUUGGCACCUCGAUGUCGGCUCAUCACAUCCUGGGGCUGAAGUCGGUCCCAAGGGUUGGGCUGUUCGCCCAUUAAAGUGGUACGUGAGCUGGGUUCAGAACGUCGUGAGACAGUUCGGUCCCUAUCCAUCGCGGGCGCAAGAGAUUUGAAGGGGGCUGCUCCUAGUACGAGAGGACCGGAGUGGACGAACCAAUGGUGUACCAAUUAUCUCGCCAGAGGUAUAGUUGGGUAGCUACGUUCGGAAAGGAUAAACGCUGAAAGCAUCUAAGCGUGAAACCAGCCUUAAGAUGAGAUCUCUCAUAGAGUAAUCUAGUAAGACACCUUGGAGAAGACGAGGUUGAUAGGUCGGGAGUGUAAGUACAGUAAUGUAUUCAGCGGACCGAUACUAAUAUGUCGAGGGCUUGACUUA